rnacentral:rRNA from 1 species
GAUGAACGCUGGCGGCGUGCCUAAUACAUGCAAGUCGAGCGAACGGACGAGAAGCUUGCUCCUCUGACGUUAGCGGCGGACGGGUGAGUAACACGUGGAUAACCUACCUAUAAGACUGGGAUAACUUCGGGAAACCGGAGCUAAUACCGGAUAAUAUUUUGAACCGCAUGGUUCAAAAGUGAAAGAUGGCUUUGCUGUCACUUAUAGAUGGACCCGCGCUGCAUUAGCUAGUUGGUAAGGUAACGGCUUACCAAGGCAACGAUGCAUAGCCGACCUGAGAGGGUGGACAGCCAAAAUGGAACUGAGACACGGUCCAGACUCCUAAGGGAGGCAGCAGUAGGGAAUCUUCCGGAAUGGGCGAAAGCCUGACGGAGCAACGCCGCGUGAGUGGAGAAGGUCUUCGGAUCGUAAAACUCUGUUAUUAGGGAAAAACAAAUGUGUAAGUAACUGUGCACAUCUUGACGGUACCUAAACAGAAAGCCACGGCUAACUACGUG